UACGUAGUGGGCAAGCGAUGUCCGGAAUUAUUGGGCGUAUAGCGCGCGCAGGCGGUCUCUUAAGUCUGAUGUGAAAGCCCACGGCUCAACCGUGGAGGGUCAUUGGAAACUGGGGGACUUGAGUGCAGAAGAGGAAAGUGGAAUUCCUCGUGUAGCGGUGAAAUGCGUAGAGAUGUGGAGGAACACCAGUGGCGAAGGCGACUUUCUGGUCUGUAACUGACGCUGAGGCGCGAAAGCGUGGGUAGCAAACAGG
rnacentral:misc_RNA from 1 species